rnacentral:rRNA from 1 species
GAUGAACGCUGGCGGCGUGCCUAAUACAUGCAAGUCGAGCGAACAGAUGAGGAGCUUGCUCCUCUGACGUUAGCGGCGGACGGGUGAGUAACACGUGGAUAACCUACCUAUAAGACUGGGAUAACUUCGGGAAACCGGAGCUAAUACCGGAUAAUAUAUUGAACCGCAUGGUUCAAUAGUGAAAGACGGUUUUGCUGUCACUUAUAGAUGGAUCCGCACCGCAUUAGCUAGUUGGUAAGGUAACGGCUUACCAAGGCAACGAUGCGUAGCCGACCUGAGAGGGUGAUCGGCCACACUGGAACUGAGACACGGUCCAGACUCCUACGGGAGGCAGCAGUAGGGAAUCUUCCGCAAUGGGCGAAAGCCUGACGGAGCAACGCCGCGUGAGUGAUGAAGGUCUUCGGAUCGUAAAACUCUGUUAUUAGGGAAGAACAAAUGUGUAAGUAACUAUGCACGUCUUGACGGUACCUAAUCAGAAAGCCACGGCUAACUACGUG